CCUACGGGGGGCAGCAGUGAGGAAUAUUGGUCAAUGGCCGGAAGGCUGAACCAGCCAUGCCGCGUGAAGGUCAGUGCCCUAUGGGCGUUAAACUUCUUUUGUGCGGGAGCAAUAAUGGUCACGUGUGGCCAGACGAGAGUACCGUACGAAUAAGCAUCGGCUAACUCCGUGCCAGCAGCCGCGGUAAUACGGGGGAUGCAAGCGGUAUCCGGAUUUAUUGGGUUUAAAGGGUGCGUAGGCUGUGAGGUAAGUCAGCGGUGAAAUGCCCCCGCUCAACGGGGUGAAGUGCCAUUGAUACUGGCUGGCUGGAGUGCGGAUGCCGUGGGAAGAAUGUGUGGUGUAGCGGUGAAAUGCAUAGAUAUCACACAGAACACCGAUUGCGAAGGCAUCUCACGAAUCCGCGAUUGACGCUGAUGCACGAAAGCGUGGGUAUCAAACAGGAUUAGAUACCCUUGUAGUC
rnacentral:rRNA from 1 species